rnacentral:tRNA from 1 species
UCUCGAUUGGUCCAGUGAUAAGGAUACCUGCUUGUCAUUGGUGUUCUGUCCAGUGUUCACGAUCGUAGUAGGUAUUAGGUUAUGAGUUAUUCAAAAUCAAGCCGCAGGUAGCCGGAGUUCGAUUCCCCGAUCGAGAG